rnacentral:rRNA from 3 species
UUUGAUCCUGGCUCAGAUUGAACGCUGGCGGCAGGCCUAACACAUGCAAGUCGAACGGUAGCAGGAUGUGCUUGCACAUCGCUGACGAGUGGCGGACGGGUGAGUAAUGCUUGGGAACUUGCCUUUGCGAGGGGGAUAACAGUUGGAAACGACUGCUAAUACCGCAUAAUGUCUACGGACCAAACGGGGCUUAGGCUCCGGCGCAGAGAGAGGCCCAAGUGAGAUUAGCUAGUUGGUGGGGUAAAGGCUCACCAAGGCAACGAUCUCUAGCUGUUCUGAGAGGAAGAUCAGCCACACUGGGACUGAGACACGGCCCAGACUCCUACGGGAGGCAGCAGUGGGGAAUAUUGCACAAUGGGGGAAACCCUGAUGCAGCCAUGCCGCGUGUGUGAAGAAGGCCUUCGGGUUGUAAAGCACUUUCAGUUGUGAGGAAAAGUUAGUAGUUAAUACC